rnacentral:lncRNA from 1 species
GUUAGACCUGAAAACUCCAGGCUCGGGACCCAGGCCACAGGGCUGUGUGUUUUGUUUUGGGAGGGUGGGCCGACUAUAUGAUGCCCAAUCCUAGCAUAAACCAGUCAAUACAAUACAACAUCUGUGCUUGUCAUGAAAACAGGCAUUUCCAUCUACCCUUGAAGGCAACCAGCCUUCCGCAUCUGGAACCACUGGGUGCAUAAGGGACCUGGCAAUAAAUGAUGGGAAUUUGGCCUAUAGGUGAAUCACCAGGCUUGUGGCUCAGCUCAAAGCAUACGCCCUGCUGAACGGAGGAGUGGCAUUAUGUGCACACAGAGAAGGCAGCACCGUUCCCUGUCACAAUAUAGACUUUGUAAUACUCUACUAUGAGGAAAGAACAUCUUCUCUGAGCACACUGAAGAAAGACAGCCUAGAAAUUCCACAGAGCCAGAGUAUCAGCUCCCAGAGGCACCUUCCCAGUCUACACCACCCCAGAGAGAGAUUGGUCUGAUGGAUGGGGAAAGCGGUGUUGAAAGUGGCACUCGCUCAGAAAAGCCGAAGAGCUUGGGCAGAGCAGAGAAUGUCAGCAUCAUUCUCAUCUCCUUGCAGGUGAAACUACAAGAAAACUGAGGCCAGCAGGCAAUGAAGUAGACAUGUUUUGAGCAGCCCCCAGGGCUUCUGAUGCCCAAAGUCACAGAUGACUCCAGACCAUUGCUUCUCCAAUGUUCGUGGGCCAUGGAUCACCUGCAGGCCCUGUGAGAUGCAGGUUUCGAUCCAGCAGGAUGCAAGUGGCUAAUGCUAAAGGGCUGCCAGAGAACCAGGUGAUGACGCUCAUCUUGAAAGACAAGAUAAUAAGGGGACAAGCCAGAGCAAAGGAGAUACCAGAAAAAGAAGAAAGUGGUGAGGGAGAAGGAGGAUGGAAGGUGGGGAGAAGUUGUCCUAAGGGCUGGGGAACCAAGCCUUCCACUCCUGCUGCACAGGGCCAGAACAAUGGAACAAUCUUCUUGCCCCAGUCAUGCUUCUGGGCGGCAGGUCUCAAAGGGAACUGGCUGUUGUAAAUGCAUUUGCCCUUGGCCUCAGCAUCAAUCAGACUUGAGACCUUAGCGUCUGUGAUGGCAAACCGAUGGCCAUCCACACCUCCUUCCUAAGGUGAACCUCUGUGUAAAUCACAUGCCAAGACAACAGCAACGUUACCUCGAUUAAGUGCAAUGAAAUUGCCCAGGAAAGUUCGUUAUCGUGGACUCUGAGAGCUAGAGCCUUAGACCUUAGACACAGACAUCAUCUACCGUAACCAGACUUUACUGACGUAGAAACUGAGGUCCAAAGAAGUUGGUCAAGGUCAUGCACAUUAUUAGGUGCAGAGCUUGUGCCCCGACUGUCAGGACGGCACUAUUUCCACUACUCACACUGCCUAGCACAAAUACAUUUAAUUUUAGUUCAUCACACAUUCAGCCUGUGCUUUCGAGGAAUUUUAUAGUCCUCACUCCAUCUGUGCAUCUUGCCAUUCUACCAGCUUCCCUUCACUCAGUGCCUCCCAUGUAUCUAUCUGUCGCACUGUCCUGAAAAGAAGAGGAGAGGUCCAGGAGUUUAAAUUGAUCGCCAUCUGUGUGUCAUUUCGACAGCAUCGAGAUGGCUAAAACAACCACAGCUGAGAAUGCUCCAUUUCCUUUUUUUUUUUUUCUGAGACGGAGUCUCGCCGUCUCCUAGGCUGGAGUGCAGCAGCACAAUCUCGGCUCAUUGCAACCUCCGCAUCCGGAGUUCAAGCAAUUCUCCUGCCUCAGCCUCCAGAGUAGCUGGGAUUACAAGCGCCCGCCACCACGUCCAGCUACUUUUUUUUGUAUUUUUAGUAGAGAUGGGGUUCCACCAUGUUAGCCAGGCUGGUUUCAAACUCCUGACCUCAAGUGACCUGCCCACCUCGGCCUCCCAAAGUGCUAGGAUUACAGGCAUGAGCCACCACGCCCGGCCAAGAAUGCUCCAUUUUCUUCUGAAGGGCCAAUUCUGGAUCUACAGUCCACUUUGGGCAAGGGGAGGAAAAAGAUUGACAGCCACUAAGAUAAGGCCACCAUUGUCAACUUACAGCACACACUGUCAUUUAGAAAGGUAUUAGGUUUUACUUUUCAGAAGUGACUGCAAUACAGUUAAGACCAUUUAGGUAGAAACCAACCAGUCAGAAUGUAUUCAAAUGUGGCCGGGCACAGUGGCUCACACCUGUAAUCCCAGCACUUUGGGAGGCUGAGGCGGGUGGAUCACCCGAGGUCAGGAGUUCAAGACCAGCCUGGCCAACCAUGGCCAACAUGGUGAAACCUCAUCUCUACUAAAAAUACAAAAAUUAGCUGGGCGUGGUAGCAGGCACCUGUAAUCCCAGCUACUCAGGAGGCUGAGGCAGGAGAAUCACUUGAACCCAGGAGGUGGAGGUUGCAGUGAGCCGGGACCGUGCCACUGUACUCCAGCCUGGAAGACAGAGGGAGACUGUGUCUCAAAAAGAAAAAAAACAAGCAUGUAUUCAAAUGUGCACAGUCAUUAAAAUAACGUGUAUGGAAAAGUUAAAGGCUUGGUUUUCAGAUUGCCACAUGAUGAAAGCGAAGGGUGCUGAGCUGCAGCAUGAACCCCAUUUCUGCAGCCCUUGGUGCCGGAGGAGCAUGUAAAGUACCAUCAUUGUGACGGUGUGGUUGCCUCUGGAACCCAGGAGCAGAUGUUCUCCUCAUCUCUGCCAGGGCUUUGGUCAAAAGCUACACACCACUUGAAAUGGCUGUAGAGUUUUCAAAAUGCCACCAGGUGUGGAGGGAAAAAAGCAAUUAAACAUUCAAAUGGUUAAAGAAUAAUAGUUUGUUUCAUCCGCAAGUUGUGCAUCUUGGGGAGGCAGCGUACACAGCAUUAUUGUUUGUGAGGCACCAACCAACACCAGAAAGGCAUUUUAUUUGUGCGCAGAUACUAUAUGUGCAGAGAUGGCUAUCUGUGAAGAUAAAUGCUUCAGGGACUUUGAGCUUUAGAAAAAAAUGGGAUCUGGCUAAAGUUUCUCCUCUCUGCUUUCUCAGUUACUUUAAUCUUUUAUAACCUUACACAGGCCAGAUGGAAAUGGAGGCUUCCACUCAUCUAAGGUGUAGAAGUAAGUAAACCACCGAAAUUUC